rnacentral:rRNA from 1 species
AGUGAACGCUGGCGGCAGGCCUAACACAUGCAAGUCGAACGGCAGCACAGUAAGAUCUUGCUCUUACGGGUGGCGAGUGGCGGACGGGUGAGGAAUACACCGGAAUCUACACUUCCGUGGGGGAUAACGUAGGGAAACUUACGCCAAUACCGCACACGACCUACGGUUGAAAGCAGGGGAGCUUCUGACCUUGCGCGUGUGAAUGAGCCGUGGUCGCCUUAGGUAGUUGGCGGGGUAAAGGCCCACCUAGGCGACGAGCCGUUGCUGGUCUGAGUGGGUGAAGCGCGACACUGAAAGUGAGACGCGGUCCAGACUCCUACGGGAGGCAGCAGUGGGGAAUAUUGGCAAAAGGGCGAAAGCCUGAACGAGCCACACCGCGUGGGUGAAGAAGGGCUUCGGGUUGUAAAGCCCUUUUGUUGGUGAAGAAAAGCAGCGGGUUAAAACCCGGCUGUUCUGACGGUACCCAAAGAAUAAGCACCGGCUAACUACGUG